AUGACCAACACCUCCAUCCACCUCUACAACGUCAACCAGAAGACGCUCCUGCAGUGGCACACAGAGAGGAGCAAGGGAAUGAGCACCACCUUCCUCCUCAGUACUGUCCCCGGACCAGGUGGACCUGCUGCUGGUACUCAGGGUGUCCCAUCACAGUCUCGGAAGGUGAACCCUGUGCUACCUCAGAGGCCGUUGCAGCACCCUCAACCUGAAGACCCCUCAGGGCUGGCAACCACACACCGUGGGCCUGUGGCACCGGCCCUGUAUGCCCUGAUCGUCUUUCCUGCCAUGAUCUCUGCAGCCUCCACCACCGUCACUGCUUCUCCUGACACAAUCACCACUACCACCCACCAUGCCAUCUCCAUCACCGCUGCUGCGCCUGCUGCUGCGCCUGCUGCUGCGCCUGCUGCUGCUGCUGCACCUGCUGCUGCUGCUGCUCCUGCUGCACCUGCUGCUGCUGCUGCUGCUGCUGCUGCUGCUGCUGCUGCUGCUGCUGCUGCUGCUGCUGCACCUGCUGCUGCACCUGCUGCUGCUCCUGCUCCUGCUGCCGCCGCCGUUCCUCGCUCCACAGCCUGGCAGAGGAGGAUUAGAGAGGAGGAGCUGCGUCGUCAGCGAGAAAGGGGUCUCCCUCUUAAAGAGAGGAAGAUCUUUACACACUUCCGCUGUGGCCGCUGUGGUCAGCCCAAGACCAAACAGUAUGGCCACAGCCGCUACAGGGGAGAGUUCUUCUGUGCCACAUCGGAGGGUCGCUCUGUGGAUGACUGGUUGAAAGAGAAGAGACGACUGGACCCGAAAUGUAGGUCUUUAGAUGAUUACAUUUGCUUGUGUGUGUGGAGCGUCUGUCUGACCUCUGAUCUGUUUUAUUCUCUACAGACCAGCAGCCGCGCAGGUGAAGGACAAUACACAACAAUGCACGUGACUCCUUUUAAUCUUUUUUCUAAUUGCAGGACACACCAACUUGACGUGCAGCAUAGUGUCACUUGUAUAUAUUUUGUGUAAUUUUGCUUGUAUAUAUUUUGUGCGUAUUUUGAAGUAUUUUGUUACAAAUUUGUAAUGUACAUAGUUUAAUUUUACUGUUGACAAUGUUCUCAAGCUAAUUCAAUUGAUGUUUUUGUUACAUAAAAAAUCUUUUCAAAGGAUCAGUUCAGUGUUGACAUCUUUUCUUUGUAAUUGCAUAAUGUAUAAUUUAUAAAUCUGAUGUGAACCAGGUUAAUGAUGAGGAUCGAACAUGAUCGUAUUGAUCCAUCAUGCCACAUCUAGUGAGAGAGUAGAACAUUUGAUCAGAUCUGUGUGUCCCUCACUCGCCCAAUCACCAGCUCCCGAUCACUUCACCUUGACACUCGCCCAAUCACCAGCUCCCGAUCACUUCACCUUUAUUCCAGGGAGACGAUCGUUCAGGGUAAAAGGCUUAUCUCCUGCCGACGGCCCCAGGUGGUCUAGGCGGCUCACAAUACACAUUGUAUAUCCUAUAGGUGUGACUCUGUGGGGGGCAGGUAGGAGCCCCAUAAAGGCUGCCUGGAUGAGGCUGUUGGUCUAGUCAAGGUCUAGUCUGAGGCUGCAACAACUUUGGGGAAGUCCACAAAAAAGAAAUGCAAAACUUUGGAAGGUGAGGUCUAACUGGAUUCUUUAUCAUCUUCUUUUUGCUAUCAACUGUAUAUGUGUUCAGCCCUUCAUUAAUCAUUACAUGUUGAACUAUUAUUUACAGAACAGCACAUUUGAUAAAACACAUAGAGAGAAAGUGGAUCCAGGAGUAUACAGAAGGUUUGUAUUUUUUUACUGCACUCAAUAUUAACUUGUAUUUUUCAUUACAUUACAGCAAUGAUGUGAUUGACAUGCUUCUGUUUUUACUUAGAAACAUCAAGGGUAUCUUCUGAGGACGAAUCCCUUGCCUGGCACUCCCCAUGGAGAUCAUCAUCCUCCUCACCCGCCACAAGCACUGCCAACAUUGCUUUUCCAGAGGCUGCCACCACCGCUGCCACCACCGCCGCUGCCGCCGCUGCCGCCGCUGCCGCCGCUGCUUCACUACAAGAACAUGCUGCUUGCUUAAAAAAGGAGGAAGGGCGCCAACAACAGCGCCAAGAGGAGCCCCAAGAAGAGCUCCAAGAGGAGCCCCAAGAGGAGCCCCAAGAAGAGACCCACGAAGAGCGCCAAAGCCAAUGCCGAAAUUGUGGACUUCCCAGGACCCUGUCGAAGGGGCAUGCCUUUUACAAAGGGCAUUUCUACUGCACACACACUGCAGGGCCUGGGGCAAAGUCUGCCAAUGAGUGGCUGAAGGAGCAGGAAGAAAAGGAAGCACCAAAAAUUCCCAGGACAACUGCCUUCACCAUGAGGAAAAAGUGGGAGAAUGAGCACAGUUUCAAACCUCCAGAAAACAGAAGGAAGCCGAAUAAACUUAGAAUCUGCCAGCUGUGUGGCCUGCCA
rnacentral:lncRNA from 1 species